rfam:Intestinimonas butyriciproducens strain AF211, complete genome.
CCGCACUAGUUGGGGAGAUAGCGGUGCCCUGUACCUGCAACCCGCUACAGCAGGGAUGAAUCCCGGCCCCCGGAGCUGCGCUGUGUCGUCUGCCCCCGGUAAGUGGCGAUGAUAGAUCGGUCCCGCGCAACGGGAACCCGUGAACCAUGUCAGGCGGGGAACCGAGCAGCAUUAAGCGGAACCUCCCGUGUGCCGCGGGGCUGCCGUUCUUGAGUUGGCUGCCAGGGUCACGGACAUAGCGCAGUGUUCAAAGGCCGGUGUGCGG